UUUUAAGUCAGUCCUAUGUGUCCCCAAGGGUCACUUGCUUUUCAUAGCAGACGGUGGAGGUCAGAGUUCAAAAUUCCAAACCAAACAUUCUCCCGGUUCUAGGAAAAAGGUGAAUUAUGUCCUGCAGAUAAGGAGUGCCCUGUGCCCUGAGCAGCUUGCGCCUUCCUGGAAGGUGUCACUUGCCACCACUCAUGAAGGAGGGUGACAGAAAUCACCAAGUUGGAAGAGGUGGGGAACGGCAUUGGGGCAGUGAGAACAGAAUAUGCAAAGACUCAGAGCCAUGAAACUCUGGUGUCCCCAGAGUGGCCGUUCCAGGGGCUGGAGCGGAAAUGGUCGUGGGUCGGGGAAGCAGCCGGCUGGAGUGUGCGUCUCCUGGUGGCGAUUCAUUUUAAGCUGGUUAGGAAAUGUGUUCUAGAGGCUGGUGGGGCAAGUCGCAGACGGUCUCCGGUUAGUUCUAAACUAGUCUGGAGCCGGGUAGACUGGCUCAGAACCUGGUGUCUGUGGCAAUAACCCAAGCCUCAGAGCCUGGCGGGCAGGGAAGAGGAGUCCCAGUUCAGAGAUGGGGAGGAGUGGAAUCUAUAGCACAGCAUCUGGUGACCCGUGGAAAGGUGAUGGAGAGGGAGACGCUGAGUGCAAGGCCAGACUUCUGGCUGAGGGAUAUUCAGUGAGGUGGCAUUUCAACAGGCACGUCGGGGACAAAAGAAGUGGGCACAAGUCAGGGUUGAGGAGCUGGCUAGUGCAUCAGUCAGCAAGGACCCCAGGAUUGCUACGUAACAAAACAACCACAAAAGCAUAGUGGAUUUCAGGGGUCAGCUAUUUAGCUUGGGUGUCCAGGGUUGGACUGCUCUGGACCAGGCUGGGCUAAUCAGGCUGGCUCCACCCGGCACAACUGAGACCCGCGGCUGGAUUCCACGUGUCCCACCCUCCAGCAGGCCAGCCCUCGUGUGUCCUAAGGGCCAGAGCCAGCCAAUCAGGAGACCCCUUUUAAAUCCUGUUUGUGUCACAAAUCCUGUUGGCUGGCCUCCCAAAGCCAGGUCAGGGGCGGGGACAUGGUGGGGCACCCGAUCAAGGCUGUGGCUAUGGGAAGUGGGGCCCGGGGGUCGCAGGAGCAACGGCAGCCCUCACGGACCUGACGCUGUGGGCCCGGACCUCUCUGGAGCCUUGGGCCGGAGGCUUGGACCAGCAGAGCAGGGCUCUGGCUACAAGAGCUGGACGCCUGGGUGACCCUGUGUCUCCCUUUACCACCAGCUGUCCUCUGUCAUGGGGAGAAACCCUCUGGGCCCUUGGGGCUGGUGGGGUCCCUGCCUGGCACGCACAUAGUAGGUGCUCAGCUGGCCACGAGUGGUGGGGACACAGCCGGGGAACUGACCCUUGUUGACCCAGAAGACAGGGCUGGCCCUGGGGGGCUGUGGGGGCCUGUGGCCCUGGCAUCACCCCCCUGAGGGGUCCUGCUGGGGAUCAAACAAGAUGGUGGCAGGUUUUCCUUCCAGAAGAACUUCCGGAACCUUCCGGUGUCUGUUCCCAUCCUCCCCGCGGCUCCAGGAGCACCAAGGGAUGGUCCCCGUUUUGCGUGUAAAGAACUUGGAGUUGACGCAGACCCAGGUCACACGGCCGACCAAGUGGCACCGCUGGGUGCCCGGGCGCGGGGGACUCUCUCCCUGUCAUCCCUGCCCCCCGGGGCUGCUGGGCCUCUGGCAGCCGAGGUUGGGCGCAGUGACGGUGUCUGUGUGGCGGUCCCCAUGGAGCCACCCAGUCCUCCCCCUCCGCGGGGACAAUCCCUUAGAGGACAUUUUUUUCUUUAAAAAGACAGGAAACAGCGGGAACCGGUCUCUGCCGCCGCUUCCUGAGUCUCUUUGGUCUCUUUUGUUGUACUUUUGAUUUUUCGCCUUAGACGCCGUCCCCAGGAGCGGCUCCGGGGCCAUUGAUUUAUUAUUUAUGGCGAAACGUCCGUCGCGGCGAUGGCGUCUUCCGUCCUUGUCCUGAUGGACGUCCUGCAGGACGAGGCCCAAGGGCAGCGAUGGGGGCUGGGGGCCCUCACGACGUCCCUCUGUCUGUCUCUGCAUCUGCGACCCGUGGGGACGGAGGAGCUGUCUCUUCGGGGGUGACCCCUGAGGGUGGCCCCUUGGCGGGGAGGCAGGAGCUGGUGUGAUCUGUCCUUGGGGAUGGGGUGUGGCCCCCAGGGACACUGGGCUGUCCCCAGGCAGCCCGCCAGCCCAGGGCUCCGAGGCCCACCUGUGUGUCUGGUCCCCUGGUCUCCGGCUCCUCCUUCCCUCUGACGCGGGGUUUGCUGUGGGAAGCGACUGGCCCAGUCUGGGCCCAGCCCUGGAGAGGAGCAGCCGCCCGUCCACCAGGGGGGGGAACAUUGAGGCCAGGAGGGGACAGGGGACUUGCCCAAGAGACUGCUGGAGCCGGCUUGGAGCCUAGGACAGACGAAAAUCUCCGAACAAGCAGGGCACCGUGGCCCGCACCCAUAGUCUCAGCUACUCUGGAGGCUGAAGCAGGAGGAUCACUGAAGCCGAGGAGUCCAAGGGCAGCCCGGGCAACACGGCAGGACCCCAUCACAAACAACCAAAAGAGUAGAGCACCAUCCACCUCAUAGGACACACCACCCUGGAUCACGGUAGCGGAUGACUGUGGUCCCAUCUGUGCAUUAUGACUUUAUAAUGAUAAAGUCAUUGUUUUAGAGUGGACCACAACCAGCGGGGUGCGGUGACGCACACCUGUGAUGCCAGUGGCCCGGGAGGCUGAGGCAGGAGGAUCAUCGUGAGUUUGAGGCCAGCCUGAGGGAUUUAGUGAGGCCCUGAGCCAUCGCCUAAAAUAACAAACAAAAAGGGCUGGGGACGUGGCCUGGUGCUUAAGCACCCCUGGGUUCAGUCCCAGCACCUAAUGAGAAUGAUCAUAAAAUACAGAACAACUUAGGAAAUGCCCCGCCUGCGGCCGCCCUUCAUCUGGAGCUUGCUGGGCCUUUCUCUUUCCCACGGCUGCGUGUGUUGACCGCAUCAAGAGAGGGAUCUGCGUCCACCCCGCCAGAUGGGCACAAGCACCGUCUAGGACGCUCCCUUGGUGAAGAGACCCCCUUUAUCAGAACGUGUCCCUGUCCUUAGGCAAGGUCCCUGUGACCUUGUUCUACAGUUGACACCACGAAAGGCUGCGGAGACCUUGGCUCAGAGAAUGGGCUGGGGGGAGGCCGGAGGGGAGGCUGGAGGUGAGGCAGGAGGCUGCUGCGGCCCACCGCGGCCUGGGGUGAUGGAGAGAGCAGGAGGACCCCUGGGGGACGUGGCAGGUGACCCAGGAGCCCUCUGGUCCUGCCUUGGGGGUGAGGGCUUCUGUCUGUGCACCCUGAGCUCCGUCCUCUUGACCGUGGCCUCCGGCUGUGGAGCUGGGGGGCCCAGGGAGAGGGUCCCCAGGAGACCAGGGACUGUGCGGAGAGAGGGUGGUGAGGGUGUCCUCACGGCUGUCACCAUGGAGACGGCCACCCACCCACCUGGCCCUCCUCUGGCCACUUCUGGGGGUCUCUCUGUUGGCCGAGACGCUGGCCAGGCUGCGACCUGAAUGGCCGUAGGUGGGGACACCACUGGGGCCCCGGAGGCCCUCCCCCCUGACAUUCUAGCACCUUCUCCCCCUUGCGGGUGGCCGUGUGCUGUCCGUCUGGGCGGCCGUGCCGGGGCACACAGGCCCCUUCAGAGGUCCGUCCGGGCUGUCAGCCUCUGGGGCGUCGCCGCCAGCUGUGUAAAUGUUUUCGGGUUUCCUGCUGCGCCCGGGCUUGAGCCGGGGCCAAGACAAGCCUCGCGGCAGUUUUCUUUGGCAGGAAGCUGAGCGCAGGAAUGUCAGGGAACCUUCCACGGCGGGCGGGCGGGCGGAGGGCGGGGGACGCAGGCUGAAAGCCGAGCCCGGGCAGA